rnacentral:lncRNA from 1 species
UGACGUAUUAGCUUUAAGCAAGAACGAAGAAAUGAAAGUAAUUGAAAUUAACUUACUGAUAUAAGUUUUAUUUGAUUAUGUAUGUAUUAAAGCUUUCAUUUGUUUGGUAAUUAGCUAUACUAGCUAGUUAUAAUUAUAUGAUGUAAAUAAUGAUUGUCAUUAUCAUUGAAACAUAAUUGUUGUGAACUAAUGGUUGAGCGUUGAUAUCGUGGUUUUGGGAGGAGGAUGGGGUCUUAAAUUGAUUGAUUGCCCGAUGGAUGGGCUGUGUGCACUGAUAGAUAAAUAUAUAAUAAUACUGUGUUAUCUAAACAGGAN